AUUGAACGCUGGCGGCAGGCCUAACACAUGCAAGUCGAGCGGAGCGGCGGACGGGUGGGUAAUGCCUAGGUAUCUGCCUGGUAGUGGGGGAUAACGUCCGGCAACGGGCGCUAAUACAGCAUACUAUCAGAUGAGCCUAGGUGGGAUUAGCUAGUUGGUGGGGUAAAGGCCUACCAAGGCGACGAUCCGUAACUGGUCUGAGAGGAUGAUCAGUCACACUGGAACUGAGACACGGCCCAGACUCCUACGGGAGGCAGCAGUGGGGAAUAUUGCACAAUGGGCGCAAGCCUGAUCCAGCCAUGCCGCGUGUGUGAAGAAGGUCUUCGGAUUGUAAAGUACUUUCAGUUGGGAGGCGUUACCGACAGAAUAAGCACCGGCUAACUUCGUGCCAGCCGCCGCGGUAAUAC
rnacentral:rRNA from 1 species